CAAGGCUGCCCAAGGCCGCUUGAUGAAAGGAGAUAAACCGGGGACGGUUUCCAGGAUCCCCGCGGGCCGACCCAGGCAGCUCGGGAGCCGAGGCCGCCGGACGGGGAACACAAGCCUGACUGCGGGGUGGAGGCGCGAGGCCAGCCCGGGAUUGCGCCCUCUCCAGCGCGGUGAUUGCUGCGCGCCGGGGCGCACGAGCUGCGGUGAGGCACAUCUCCUGCAGAUCCAGUACGCGAUUGAAUCAGGCCAUCCUGUGAGGGAUGGGCGCGAAUUCCGGCUCCCGGUGGCUCGGUGGUGACCCGACGGCGAACGCCGGCCGGGCUUGGCCUGAGGUGAGCUCCGUUGUUCUGGUCCCUCCAGCGGCGGGCAGCCGUUUCCCGCUUCGCACGCACGGAGAGAAGAUUCCCGGCUCGGGAGAAACCGCUGCUGGCAACGGGAGGCCCCGGAACGCGAGCGCCCCUGUUCUCGGUUGGUGUAAGCAUCUCUUGCAAGCCGCAGAUUUUCUGAGUGCUUGGAAUUCGAGUUCCUCGCUAUUUUCUUUCACUGAUUUUGUUUACCGAUCCAGGAAUCUUUAUAUCUAUCUCCCCGUUUAAAGUAUUCUCCCUUACCCCAUCCGUCCCUUCAAAAAGAAAAAGAAAAAGGGAAAAGGAUUUUAAAAAAAGAGAGAGAGAGAAAUAAUUGGAUGCUACAAGGACACAGCGUGGCAAUCCUCCGAGCUGCUGCAACCUCGAGGGGACCCGGGAAGCCAGUGUGGGGGAGGGGCGCGCCUAGACAGCUUGCACCCACUCUUUGAUUUUGCGUAACCCGGGUCCUCUAGGCUGGACCGGGAAGAUCUCCAAGUGUGGGAUCUAUCCCUCCAGGGCGGGUGGAGAUGGUCAGAAGGGCACACCGGUAAUCCAUCUGCACACAGGCCUGCUGCUAGACACGAGAACGCGAGGUUUCUUUCCUCCUCAAGCCGGUUUAGAAUCUUGGGGAUCAGCACCGCCGGAUCCCUAAAAGCUGGGCAGGAGGAUUUGUCUCCAACCCCGCCAUGUUCUGUGUCCACCCCAACCCCGUUCUGUGUCGUCUCACAUCCCCGAAAGGCUCCCAGAGUGUGAAAGGCCUCGGCUCCUUGCUGUCUCGCUCCCACCUCUGCGUCCUCUCUAACCUCAGUAUUCACUUAAGUCUAGUGGCCUUUUUCCUCCUUCGCUCAAUACUGUUUCAAAAUAGUUGUUACAGCAAAUAGCUGCCGACGCGCCUCUGGAUGCCGCCAGAGGCUGGCAGCUGCCCAGCGCGGGCGCACAGCCCCCGGCAGUUCCACAAGACCAAAAUAAGCUCCCGUGUUCCUCUCACAGGGCUCGGCCUCCCGGGCGGGCCCGGGCAUGUCUGGCUGGGCUCGCUAUCUGCUUGGAGCAAACCAUCCUGGUUUCCUCCUUGACUUCCUGCUAUCCAAAACUAACAAAUGUUUUUCAUUUUAGAAGAACAUGGCGUGAGGAUCAGGGUCCUUUCUAGAGCAGUGCUUCUCACCCUUCCGAAUGCUGCGACCCUUUAAUACAGUUCCUCAUGUUGUAGUGACCCUCAACCAUAAAACUAUUUUCGUUGCUACUUCGAUACACGUGUAUUCCCCAGAGGUACCGGCUUGGUGCUCUGUGCCUGGGAGUGAGAGGAGAAGAGAAUGGGGGUGCCCAUCGCAAGGUAAAAAGGCUUCUCCCCCCAAGAAAGGAACUUUCAAACAGAGCCCAUCUAUUUAGCCAGGAACAGAGGUAAAGGGGGCGGGAGGUGUUGCACUGAUCUGUGGGCUCCUGCCCCCUCCCAACUGGAGGCUGGGCUGAGGCCCAGGUAAGGGGCAAAAACACAGAAGCAGGAAAGGAAGAACUUCAGGAUCCCAGUUUGCUAAGAGUCCUCUCUUCUGCACACACCUCUGGAGGCCUGGCUGUGCCCCUAGCCAACAUCCUCCCCAAGGCAUUCCCUGACUCCGCUCCAAACCAAGCCUGGAGCUUUGCUAAAUUGAAGCUGGCUCAAGCCGGAGGGACCCCUGUGGGAGGCACAGGUUUCCCUUCAAGGCUGCGUAGACAGACAGACCUGCUUCUAAGUUUUAAGAAGCAAGGAGAGAACCCCCAGACCACUUUGAAGUCGGAUAAACAGCUUCCCCAGCCACCAUGCCGCUUCCUCCCAGGGAGGUUUAGAUUCUGUUGUUGCUGAUUUUCUCCAACCAGGUCAGGAGGCUGCCCAGCCCCCUCCCUGCGCAGGAAAGGUGCUUGUUAAACACAGUCGUAAUUUGUGGCUAAAUAUAACCCAGUGUGUUCACACGGAAAGCAUAAUUCAGAGGGCUCGUUGCAUGAGGUUAUCAGUGAGGAGACCCAUCUGGGGUAAAUUAAAGUGAUUUUCAUAAAGGGCAGAAGCAUCCAUUGCCAGCUUCUCCAGGCCCUUUUACCAGUGAUAGUGCAACAUUCCUACUAAAGGGGAUCAGGGAAGGCAGAAGACGCCCCGUACCCCAGAGCUGAAGAGGCAGCUUCUUGGGCCUGAGCUCCAUCCAGCCUCCCAGACCUCUUUUCAUCUAAGGCUAGAUGUGGCUUCUGUUAAGCCUGGGAAGGCUCUGGAGGAACAGGGUUGUCUUUGGAGGCAUGGGAGGAUAGCUUUGGGGGUCUGCCUAAAGGAGGGAUUGGUUUUCCUGUUGGGCUGAUCCAGACUGCCCUCAGUCGUGGCAGGGCAGAAGCACCCUCUACUCGCCCACCCCCACCACCCAUGACUGUAGGAGCCCAGGAAAAGCAUAAACGAUCAGCCUCUACCUCUCAUGGCCCGGUGGCUGAAGAAGGGACCCUGCUUUGGAACAAGUACACCCAGUCAGGCUGUGCAUGUGUGUUCCUUCCAGGUAUAUCCGCAAAGUAGAGAUGGCAUCAAACCCACAGGAACACCUGCUUCCACCUCUGGCUGUACUCAGCCUAGCCUGGCCUUGCGGGAAGUACAGCUACUGUAGGCUUACAGAUCUCAACUGUGCGAAUGUGUUCAUACAGGUCAGACGGCAGGGUAUGUCUGUGCUGAGUCUCUGGAGCCAGAUUUCUGCUGCGUGGUCUCACAGUGGCGGGUA
rnacentral:lncRNA from 1 species